CGCGUGGGAACGUACCUUUUGGUUCGGAACAACACAGGGAAACUUGUGCUAAUACCGGAUAAGCCCUUACGGGGAAAGAUUUAUCGCCGAAAGAUCGGCCCGCGUCUGAUUAGCUAGUUGGUGAGGUAACGGCUCACCAAGGCGACGAUCAGUAGCUGGUCUGAGAGGAUGAUCAGCCACAUUGGGACUGAGACACGGCCCAAACUCCUACGGGAGGCAGCAGUGGGGAAUAUUGGACAAUGGGCGCAAGCCUGAUCCAGCCAUGCCGCGUGAGUGAUGAAGGCCCUAGGGUUGUAAAGCUCUUUUGUGCGGGAAGAUAAUGACGGUACCGCAAGAAUAAGCCCCGGCUAACUUCGUG
rnacentral:rRNA from 1 species